AACUAUCUGUGAAGAAAACACAUACGCGAGUUACACACGUGUAGAAUACAAACAUGGCCAAAAGAAGGCGAGGAAAUCAAGAGAUUACAAGUUUAACUAAGAAACAGAAUAAAAAUCUAAAAGAAUUUGGAGAACAGCACCCUAACAGCACUAUUAAUAUGCAUUAAAACUAUUCCGAAGGUGGGCUCAAUCUGUCAGGUACUUGUGCAGCUGCCACAUGUAUUCCAGAUGUUCCAAUCUGACAGCUUAAUGGACCAGGAUGCCAGGUUCCUAUUCUUUGUGGAUAAGAUCCUGCCCCAUUACAGACACUCUUGUCAUGUUGCACACUUUCAUCUAUUUGCCAUCAUGUUUGGAUUUUGUUCGCCUGUGAAACUACCUGAAGGAGGAGGACAUCAGUUUCUCUAGUGUGUGCAAAGAUCAGCGGUGUCUCGAUCUUCCAGAAAGGAGAAAAAACAGGUUAUGCUCUUCUCUGAGAGAUUCCACUUCUACAAGAGGUUUGUUUGUGUGGGAAGGAAUAGAUGACCUGUGAAAACUGACAGACCUGACCAGUGAAGGACAGAUCAACCUUCCUCUCCAUCUCUUCGUGAAACUGAAAGGGUUAAUGGGUGUCUGAGUGUUUCUAUGACAACACAGAUGAGACUGAUGAGCGCAACCGUUUGGAAGAGGCUCUCAGUUCAGAAUCCAAAAAUAACCACACACAAAACAAGCCUAAAGAGAUGGCAAGGGAGGAAGAGGAGGUCAAUUAUUGAUAGAGAAAAUUCUGCACAGACAUCCAAUCCACCCCAGUCAGUUAACCUCUGCACACCGACUGCAAUUCAGAUGCAAGUUUCACACUAAAAUAGACCAUGAUGCUUAUCUGCAUACAGCUCGGCAUUUACUUAAUGCACAAAGACAGAUGCAUUAAAUGUUCGUAUGACGUUGCUAAAAAUAACAUUAUUUUGUGUAAUUGGGUGUAAUGCAAUGUGUUUAUGCAGUUUAAGGUUCAAAAAACAUUAUUUUUCACAUACUGUAGAUUAAUUUUUCUUCUCUGUGCCCCGCCUUUCUGAAAUGCGCCGAUUUUUACAAAGCUCAUAGUUCUGAAAAGCGAGGUCUAUGCUGAUUGGCCAGAUAUCCAAUGAGUUGUGAUUGGGUGAAUACCUCAAGCGUGUGACGCAAAUGUUACACCCCUUACCAUAUUGUGAUGCCAUAUCCCGACGCGAUGACACAAAAAUAAUAAAACCCAUUACAAACAAGGCAUUUGUUGCAGCCAUUUGGGACAUAAUUACUGAUUAUAAUGAAUUAUACUGUCUUUUUAUGCUUUGUGUUUCACGCCGCGUAAACUUAAAACCAUGUCUGCAUUUGCGAUCAGAGAAAUGACAAACAACAAGCACUAAUCUGCACUGCUCAAAACUAUCAUUUGAAUCAUCGGAGGCAAAUUCUUUAAAUGUGAAAACAUACUUAUAGGCUGUGAGUCAGAAGCGCCAGACUGUCCUUGCAAAGUUGGAAUUGCCCCACUUAAUGGAAACAACAUUUGUGCACAGCCUUCCCUUGUUCAGGAAACAGUCUUCUGUAAAAUGUGCUGAACACAUCUGAAUAUUUGGGUUGAACUGUUCUGGAAAUCCAUCUUAAGCACUGGUUUCUAGCUCUUUUGGAAUGCCAAACAAAGUAGUUUCACUUUUACAACAACACACAGCAUUUCCACAACAUGGUGGCUGCAAAAAUACUACAGCGAGAAACAAAGUUAUGUCGCCUUACUUUGCAUUAACAUUUGUGCGAUGUUAUGCAAAUCACCCCGCAUAGUGACAUAGACAUGUCGGGGCUUUUAAAUAAGGUGUUUUGGGGAAUUGGACGGGUCAACUUUUAAAAAGAAUAUCUCUUUGGGUUUGAGACUUAUCUUUUCUCGAACAGCUUGUGACUCUCCAAAGUGAAAGGAAAACUUGAAAUUGCUUAUUGAUCCCUUUAAAAGUUUUCUCCUUGGACAAAUACGGCCUGAUUUGCUAAAUUUGCCCUUAUAAAAUGUGUUACAAAUAAAUGCAUAUUCUUUAUUUUUGUGGAGAAAGUGGGUGAAUCAUAGUUUCGUUAUAUGUUUGCAAAAUACAAUAAAUAAUCAGGCCUUCUUUAGAUGAGAUUAUAAUACUUAAAUAUAAAAAUAGCAACUAAAAGUGAUCAUAGUGCCAGAUGAAAUAUAGCUAAUUUAAAUUUGGAUCAUUUUGUAAAGAUGUUUUACAUAACUAUCUAUUUUAGGGUUAAGAGUGAUUCAUAUGUACUGGGUUAUUUCUUUAAUGUGUGUGUUUGAGCAUUUGUUCAAAAUAAUGGCAAGAAUUUAGUCUAAAGUUCUUGGUUCCAUUGAUUUUGUGUGUUGGGACCAUUGUCUUGUUUUGUAGUUGGCUUGGGGAACAUGUCCUCGCAUUUGCUCAGUCAGUUAUUAACAAUCAAAUAGAGAAUAAAUGAGCACUCAAAACCUAUUAUUUCAAUUUACACCCAGAGAGGAAGAGGGGUCAGAAUUAUUUAGUCUUUUUUAAUUGUCAGUGACAUUUCUGUGAUGUUAUGGCUUUGGGAAUUGGGGUAGAUGACCUCAGACACAUCAUUAAACCUCAGUCCCCAGUUCCAGUUAACACUGAAAAUGUUUUUGUUUCUAUUUUAGGCAGGUAUUGAAUGUGAAAUGAAAAGAAAAGACUAAUGAGGUCCAUUGAGCGGAUACAAAGAGGAUGGGAAAUGAUAGAAUAGAGAGAGAGACUGAUGGGAGAUUAUUUCUAGCAUUAUGGCACAAUGCUUGUGUUUUUAACCAGAACAAUGGGCGCAUGGCAACAGCGGGUAACCAUGGUGACUUUUAAGGUAGCCAGAUGGGAUUCUGAUAACAUUGCCAAUGCUGUCAGGUUCACAUCUGAUGAAGUCCUUGUAAGUAUUUCAGACACACUACAUUUUUCCUUUGACACUCUGAAAAGACAAAGCUGAUUCCCCAAAUGUGUUUCUCUCGCUUCUCCUUUUCAUCAUUUCUCCUGUAAGUGCUCUGAAUGGCUUCCGGUACUUACAGAAAUCUAAUGACAUCCCAGUUGACAGGAAAUGCACAAGCACUUCUCUCAGAAAUGAAGACCAUGAGAUCCCAGUUUACAACAAAUGCAAUUACCAGUGUAGAGCACUGUCUCAUAAAUUGGACACUGUUAUAAUUUUCUAAUCAUAUUUAAAAGGAAAAAUAUGAAUUUAGCUUGAUAAUAUCUCUGAAUUACAUACAUUGAUAUACAGAGGCUGUUUAGAGAGCGUUGGAAGCUGUGUAUUUAAUUGUUUUUGAAUCCAGAUGCUUUCUAAAGGUCGCUGUCAUUAGGCAGAAUGCCUGCUGUUUGGUUAUGAAUUUUUUAAAAGCCCAGCAAAGCUGGUAGAAUUUAGGAUCAAAACGAUCACCGCUAAUGUUUGUUGCAAUUUGAAUAUCGAAAUUGUAUAUAAUUGUAUUUGGUCUGUCCAAUUUUUAUGUCACAAGGACCCAGAAAUACCUAAUAUAUUUAUUGUAUUGUCUGUGGAAUGUUGUCUGCUACUGUAUGUAAAGUUGAUAUGGCAAUAAAUAUAAAGGAAUAAACUGGAGGAGUAAGUGUUG